UGCCAGCAGAGUCGUUUCGGACAGCUCGGGUCGUGCGUGGGCAUGGCGGACUCCCGGGAUGCCAGACUCGCUUCAAAGAACAGCGAGCGCCCAUCUCCACCGAGCGCCAGGCUGGAGCAAGCGGAGGAGCUGUGCUAUGCGGACUGGUGAGCUAUGUGUGCCAGAUGCGAGAGGCAAGACUCCUGCCCGUAAGCCAAAAUAAGGUGUGGUGCAGGGCUGCGCUCGCAGGACUGCUGCGUGGUGGAAUGGAAGGCGGCUCUGCUGCUCUGUCCACCGUCUAGCUCUGGAUUUGCUUGUCUGGUUGGGUGUAUGCAGAAUAAAGUGCUGAGCAGCUGACUUCUUUCGCAUUUGGUUUGGCAAAGGGGCACAAGAAACAGGAAUUAUUUCUUCUCAUUCCUCCUACCUUAGCAGAAAUAUUACAAGGAAAACUUUUCAUUUGCUUUUACCUCUUAAAACGAAUCAACUCGCCCUAGAGGAAAUGGCUGCCUAGGGACGUGUCGGAGGCCAGUGUUACCAUGGUGGUAGCUAGUCUUAAUUCUGGCUUAAUUCUAUGCGGAAGGAGGGGCAGUUGCAGUUAAGCUCCUGAGCAGCAAAUCUCUGCAAGGUGAGUGUCAGCCCUCUGCCAGGGACUGUUACCUCCUCCUGGAAGCACAAACGCUGCUGGGCAGGGGCUGAGCCUUCUGAGGGUAGAUAAGCGAUGCACUGCAUAAAAUUGUGUGGCCCUCCAUUUUUAGCAGCUCAUUUACUGUCUUGGGUGCUUUGUCAUUCUCUCCCUAGCAGGCAGGGUUGGAGCUGUUGUCUGGACCACAACUGCUUUAGACCCUGAUCUGGAGCAAGGACUUAAGCUGGAGGAUUUAAGCUCCCAGGAUCAAGGUAUGCACCAGGGCUCGCUGUGCUGGGCCAUCGCGAGAGGGAUGCACCCGAGAUACGGAUUCGCUCCUUUGCAGGGCUGUGCUGACGCAAAGCUCUCCGGCCGACCCAAGGGACCACUUCUCUGAUGGGCAGCCAACCAUUUCUAGGGAUGAGGAGCUUUGGGGUAUUCCCGGACAAGAGCUUUUCCUCAGCGGCGAUGACACGAAGCCACCGUCGCAAACCGAAGCGUCAGGCCUUGAGAACACGUCCGUGACGUGAAGGGCAGCAAACCCUCAGCACCAGGUGCCAGACUCGGACGGUCUCCAGCGUGAAGCGGAUGCGCAGAUAACCCUGCUGAACCUGAACUGCCCCAGGACAGGGCAGACCGCCCUCUCCAGCCGAAAACUGGUGGUGACCAGAGAGAAGGUGCGAGUGGCCAGUGUCUGAGGACAUCUGCCCCAGGGUCAUUUCCAUUCAACGCCUUCAGAACAAAUUUGGAGCACGGGAUGCCAAGGUUUGUUAGUUAUGCAAAAUGAUGCAGGACACUCAACACUGAAUCAGCCUGUGGAAAGGUGCAGAAGGAUUUCGUGACCAAGUGACUGGGUUAUUAAAAUGGAGCAAAAUAACUAAACUUUUCACUCGCAAAACAUUUUUCUCCAGCCUGGAGUCACGGUUAGGAGUCUUUGCUCCAGCUACCCCAACUUGUGAUGCAAAACAGGACAAAGCACACCAAUGUCACAUGGGGCUAAAAGCUGUUUAAAGAUGGCAUCAGCUUCAGCGGCUGGCUGAGAGCUCACAUGAAGCUGCUUGUGAGCCCUGCUCCCUAAGUCUUUCCAGCCCUCCUGUUGUCCUGGGGAUGGUUAGUCACUAAUAUUUCUUGCUCUUAGAUGUUUCUAGGCAUAGCUUAAAAAUUGGCUAUAUAUAUAUGGCAACAGAACCUAUGUUUUGACCCUAUUAAAAAUAUAUUUUAGUGUCUCUUGGCAUUUUUGACUGAGCUAUUUUCUCCUUUUGAAAGUCUGUAUCAUUUCUAUGUAUCAAAAAUGGUACCAGUUUUGUCUGUCAAUUCCCUGUUCCUCCAUAAAUCUGUGCAGAUUUUUUUCCAUUCCUUUGUGAUUUCUACCCUCCUCCCCUCUCCGCUGGUUCUCAUUGGUUUUCAUACGUGGCCUGUCAGACUAAUCACUGACGUCAUUUGCU